AACGAACGCUGGCGGCAGGCUUAACACAUGCAAGUCGAACGCCCCGCAAGGGGAGUGGCAGACGGGUGAGUAACGCGUGGGAACAUACCCUUUCCUGCGGAAUAGCUCUGGGAAACUGGAAUUAAUACCGCAUACGCCCUACGGGGGAAAGAUUUAUCGGGGAAGGAUUGGCCCGCGUGGGAUUAGCUAGUGGGUGGGGUAAAGGCCUACCAAGGCGACGAUCCAUAGCUGGUCUGAGAGGAUGAUCAGCCACAUUGGGACUGAGACACGGCCCAAACUCCUACGGGAGGCAGCAGUGGGGAAUAUUGGACAGUGGGCGCAAGCCUGAUCCAGCCAGGCCGCGGGAGUGAUGGAGGCCUUAGGGUUGUAAAGCUCUUUCACCGAUGAAGAUAAUGACGGUAGUCGGAGAAGAAGCCCCGGCUAACUUCGUGCCAGCCGCCGCCGUAAGAC
rnacentral:rRNA from 1 species